rnacentral:rRNA from 1 species
AGCAGCCGCGGUAAUUCCAGCUCCAAUAGCGUAUAUUAAAGUUGUUGCAGUUAAAAAGCUCGUAGUUGAAUUUCGGGGUUAGUAGGCUGGUCAUGCCUCUGGUAUGUACUGGUCUUACUGACUUCUCCUUUCUGAAGAACUGUAAUGCCAUUAAUUUGGUGUUGCAGGGAAUCAGGACUGUUACUUUGAAAAAUUAGAGUGUUUAAAGCAGGCUAACGCUUGAAUACAUUAGCAUGGAAUAAUGAAAUAGGACGUUCGAUCCUAUUUUGUUGGUUUCUAGGAUUGACGUAAUGAUUAAUAGGGAUAGUUGGGGCAUUAGUAUUCAAUUGUCAGAGGUGAAAUUC